rnacentral:misc_RNA from 1 species
GAGUCCAUCCGUCUUUCGAGCGACUCCGGCUGCGUGGGCGUUCGGCCGCGGGGGCGAGAACAAGUUGGGGGGAAAAGUCCCCCCGCACCGGGCCGAAACAACCCUUGCAGGAUACUUCAUCUUAGC